GUAUAAUACCAGUUCUCAUAUGAUCACCAAAGUUAAGCAACAUUGAGCCUGGUCAGUAUCUAGAUGGGUGACUACUUGGGAAUACCAGAUGUUGCAAG